CAAGUCGAGCGAGAAAUCUUGGAUUGACGCUUCGGUUGAUGUCCAAGAUGGAAAGCGGCGAAAGGGUGAGUAACGCGUAGUUACGUACCCCGGGGUCCGGAAUAGCUGCGGGAAACUGCAGGUAAUGCCGGAUAAUGUUUCCGAACCAAAGGUGAGAUUCCGCCCUGGGAGCGGACUGCGUCCUACUAGCUUGUUGGUGGGGUAACGGCCUACCAAGGCAACGAUGGGUAGCGGGCGUGAGAGCGUGGCCCGCCACACUGGGACUGAGACACUGCCCAGACACCUACGGGUGGCUGCAGUCGAGAAUCUUCGGCAAUGCGCGCAAGCGUGACCGAGCGACGCCGCGUGCGGGAUGAAGGCCUUCGGGUUGUAAACCGCGGUCGGAGGGGAGGAAAUCUGCAGGGGCUAUCCCCUGCAGUUGACCUAUCCUCGACGAAGGACGGGCUAAGUUCGUGCCAGCAGCCGCGGUAAUACGAACCGUCCAAACGUUAUUCGGAAUCAUUGGGCUUAAAGGGUGCGUAGGCGGUGCAGUCAGUCGGGUGUGAAAUCCCUCGGCUCAACCGAGGAACUGCGCCCGAUACUGCUGUGCUUGAGGGAGACAGAGGUGAGCGGAACUGAUGGUGGAGCGGUGAAAUGCGUUGAUAUCAUCAGAACACCAGUGGCGAAAGCGGC
rnacentral:rRNA from 1 species